UACGGGGGGGGCAAGCGUUGUUCGGAAUUACUGGGCGUAAAGGGCUCGUAGGUGGCCAACUAAGUCGAACGUGAAAUCCCUGGGCUCAACCCAGGAACUGCGUCCGAGACUGGGAGGCUAGAAUCCGGGAGAGGGAUGUGGAAUUCCAGGUGUAGCGGUGAAAUGCGUAGAUAUCUGGAGGAACAUCGGUGGCGAAGGCGGCAUCCUGGACCGGUAUUGACGCUGAGGCGCGAAAGCCAGGGGAGCAAACGGG
rnacentral:rRNA from 1 species